AUCUGAGAACAAAUAACACGUAUCCAAACAUGCACACUUAAAUUGACAGAAGUCAUUUUUACUUUCAUUUUUGAGACAAAAACGAUGUUGAUUGCUUGAAAAUUUGGAAUGUUAUCUGACCACUGUAUGAUACCGUGUGAAAUUAAAUAAUAUAUUGAUGUGUUAUAUAUUUUAAACAGAUGAAAAGAACAGUGAUAUAUCAAAAGUGGAAUGGUCACGCAAGCAAUGCCAUGACGAGGACACACUGAAUUACGCUGCCCUGAACCUUAAGAAGCCAAAACCCAGGAGACAGAAGAAAGACGGGAAUAAUGACACUCUGUAUUCUGACCUCCGCUACAGAGAUUAUGAAUAAAGAUGCUUCUCAUUCAUGUGAUCUGAGGGGAAGAAACUGGCUCAUCAAGCAAGCAGCAAGGGUUCUGUGAAGCGUGUCCUCUUGGUAAGCUUGCCAACCAUGAGUGUGAUGCCUGCUCCACCCAGGGAAUCAGAGAGCAGCUUGGUGAGCUUGCUGUCGCAGUACAGAAUGUGCCCGCUCUUCUUCUUAGGGUCCACUAGUGCGGAUAUGCACUUGCCUGCAUAGAGAGAGAAAGCAGACACAGGGGAGAUCAUGAAGCACCUCGAAGAUCCUGUUUUGCUGUCGGAGACAGAUACUGUACAGCUGACACCUACCCAAAGACAAGAGACUUUGGUUGAUGUUGGCAGCCUCUUCCAGGAGAUCUUCUGAGGAACUGGGCCCCCUCAACCGUUCACUUCUGGCUACAUCCACUAGGCACAGUUUCCCCUUGGUGGCUGUGCCUUCAUCACUAUUAGCCUAAGAAAGAAGAUGUAGGUUUCGGAGGAUGUUCACUCUACCCAAGAUCAGCCCCCAUUAAAGCAGAGAUGGAUUCUUAAAGAGUGCAGCAGGAGAAGCACAGGAAUGUGCAGAGGGUAGAAAGACAGGCGUCUCACUGCUUUAGCUCUGAUGGAGACUGUCAGGAUGGAGUGGCUGCGGCUGGAGAGCUCAUUCUGGGCCUGCGAGGAUGUGUGUCUGCUCCUCAAACCUGGAACAAUGUGUGCGGAGGCAAGGCAGUCAGCAAACCAGAAAAACCCACAGAGACACAUCCAGAUAACAUAAAGUCCUCCAGAGUGUCCAACAGUGGACAAGUUCUCCACAUAAAAGCCCUGAGUUUGGUUUCUGUGGAGAGACAAGGAGGACGUCAACCAGGGGAGUGAGGAGAUCCCGAACCUGCAGGGGCAUAAGACUGGAGAACAUAAUCACCAUGUAUAAAAGCCUAAAGAAUCAUAGUUGUUCCCGAGGAUGUUUUGUAAGGAUCAAGUACAGAUGCAGUCACUUGAAUUUUCUCCUGUUUCCAUGAUGGGGCAUUGGCUGGUCCUUGGCUGAUCCAUGACUGGCCCCUGCUGGGUUCUGGGUGGAACCUUGACUAUUGAUGCGUUCGAUUAUUUGUCUCCAACUGGGAACUCGGACGAAAACGUCACGAAAAAUGUCACUUCCCUUCGGAAACAUGCCUCUUUUAUGUCGGACAGAAUUUUCUUGUCCAAGUUGCCCCUGUGACGUAAUUUCAACAUGGCGGCUUACACACUCAAUAGUGUGUAAGCCUCAGUAAUUCUAUUUUGCAAAUAUUUAAAAAUGUUUUUUUUGUUAAAUGUAUAAUUAUAAAUGCAAUUGCACAUGUUCAAUUGAAGGAAUACCAUAUCGUGACCGUAAACAGUAUCCUAACAUGCAAUAUCAGAUUUUUACCAGACUUGUUAGUGUUUUUGGUUUGUUUGUAGUUUGUUUGCCUCUCGAAAAAAGAAUAUCGCUAUGAAUGUACUAAAAUACUUUAUAAAGCUUUUAAUGUGGUUUGACUA